rnacentral:rRNA from 1 species
CCAGACUCCUACGGGAGGCAGCAGUGAGGAAUAUUGGUCAAUGGCCGAGAGGCUGAACCAGCCAAGUCGCGUGAGGGAUGACGGCCCUACGGGUUGUAAACCUCUUUUGCCGGGGAGCAAAGAGCGGGACGCGUCCCGCCUCGAGAGUACCCGGAGAAAAAGCAUCGGCUAACUCCGUGCCAGCAGCCGCGGUAAUACGGAGGAUGCGAGCGUUAUCCGGAUUUAUUGGGUUUAAAGGGUGCGCAGGCGGAUUUUUAAGUCAGCGGUCAAAUCGUGGGGCUCAACCCCAUCCAGCCGUUGAAACUGGCGUUCUUGAGUGGGCGAGAAGUAUGCGGAAUGCGUGGUGUAGCGGUGAAAUGCAUAGAUAUCACGCAGAACUCCGAUUGCGAAGGCAGCAUACCGGCGCCCUACUGACGCUGAGGCACGAAAGCGUGGGUAUCGAACAGGAUUAGAUACCCUGGUAUC